UUAUCAAACCAACGACCACACGCUUCCAAAGAAGACGCGCUAGCCACUACAACAUGUACAGGUUUAACUUCAAUAAGCUUUCUUAAUGUACUAGGAAAUAUGUCCGUGCGUUGCAACGAGAGAACAAAACUCGCAACAUAUAAAACUCAGCCUAAGCAAAUGUAGUAGACAUAAAAAUAACAUGCCUUUUUUUUAAUAAUCACCAUGGGGGGAGUGGAUCCCCACUAAAGGAACCCGAAGGCAUGUUACAUUAAGGAUUACAUCGAGAGAAGAAAUAUAGACGUCAAGACACAACAACCUCCCUGCUUAUGGUGUCCUUAAAUAAAGGCCCAAAUCGUAAAGUCUAUAGCGAUGUUCCGAGCUAGGACGUUCGUCGGCCUGUCUUCCAGUGAUCCAGUGUCACGGUCUCUUGGACCAUUUGGUUAUCUCGUGAAUUUCAAUGGAGACAUACAAAAAACAAUAUUGUUGCCUUUUACUGUGUUUUUCCUUCAUCAAGUAUCUUUGCCUCCUGGUCUUCCUACUCCAGGAAUACAGCACAAAAUUAAACUAAGAACAAAACAGAUCACGCUCAAUUUCGUCCCACGUUCCAAGCAGAUAGGCCCACGCACAAUGCACGCUAGCGGCGGACGUGUCGAGCGGCCAGCAUGCCACAAGAAUUAUUAAAAAUAUAACAUGCCGCUUGAAAGCCUCAUUUGACCAGAUUAGUCUGGGAUCAGAUCGACAGAACUACCAUUCUCUCUUCUCCCUCCCUCAUUCCCUCCGCCCUCGCAUCGUCUCCAGGACAACACAGGUCGAGCCCAAAUCAUGUUCACCGGUACCCUUCGCUUCCCCUCACCGUCGCCGGGGGAGGGCCGUCGGGCUAAGCCGGGGCGGCAGACGGCGGCGGCUGGCUUCUCUGCAGCAUGGGGUGGGGGAGGCUCACCUCCUGUUUGGCGUAGCGGCUUCGGUGUGAGCCCCCCUCGGGCCGGCGGCUCUUCUUUGGCUACUUGGGCGGCGUCCCCGCAUGGUGCUUCUCUAGGCCUGCCUCCCCUCGUCAUCGCUGGAGAAGGGCCGUUGGGCUAAGCCCGGGCCGCGACGGCGGGCUUCUCUGCAGCGGUGGUGGGGAGGCUUGCCUCCUGUUCGGUGCGGCGGCUUAGCGUGCUGCUUCUCCAGGCUGUCACCUAGUGCCAUCCCUCCGGGGGGCAGCUCUUCUUCCGCUGCUUGGGCGGCGUCCCCGCGUGCUGCUUCUCUAGGCCGUCACCUAGUGCCAUCCGUCUUUGGUACGCCAACAGCUCCAGAUCCAGGCGGCUGUGGUCGGAUCCACUACCGAUCCACCACCCCCUCCGUCCCGGGCCCUGGCCAGCCUCCAGCGUGGUCUUCUGUCUUGCUUCAAGCUUCAGUUUGGAGGCCCACUCAGCGGCCACGACGGGCAUCUGCAUCUCACGGCGGCCAAGGACCAGCACCGACCCGGACCCUUUUUUUCCAUGCACCUCUCUCCUCUUUGAUCGGUUGUGACCUUCCUCCCGGGCUAUUUUUUAUUGGGCAUGUAUGGCAUCUUUCUUGGUUUCUCUAGGAUAAACAUGAUCCAUAUCUCACCCUUUUUUGCUGGAUUGUUGAUUCUUGCAACUCCGAAGGUAUAUAAGUUGCUAGGAUUUGUGAUAAAGGGACAGUGUGGGACUAUUAAUUGGAAUAUGAAAGUUCAUCAAA